CCUACGGGAGGCAGCAGUGAGGAAUAUUGGUCAAUGGACGAGAGUCUGAACCAGCCAAGUAGCGUGAAGGAUGACUGCCCUAUGGGUGGUAAACUUCUUUUAUAUGGGAAUACAAUGUUCCAUGUGUGGUAUUUUGUAUGUACCUUAUUAAUAAGGAUCGGCUAACUCCGUGCCAGCAGCCGCGGUAAUACGGAGGAUGCGGGGGUUGUCGGGAUUUGUUGGGGUUAAAGGGUGCGCAGGCGGCCUGUUAAGUCAGCGGUAAAAGCCCGGGGCUCAACCCGGGCGAGCCGUUGAAACUGGCGUGCUGGAGUUGGAGAGAAGUACGCGGAAUGCGCGGUGUAGCGGUGAAAUGCGUAGAUAUCGCGCAGAACCCCGAUUGCGAAGGCAGCGGACCGGCCCCACACUGACGCUGAGGCACGAAAGCGUGGGUAUCGAACAGGAUUAGAUACCCUAGUAGUC
rnacentral:rRNA from 1 species